GAGGCCUGAGAAAAACCUGUCCCACAGGCCAAAGAAAGAAAAGGUUGCAAGGGCAGGGAGUGAACACGGUUGGGAGGCCCAGGGAGAAGAGGGCUAAAACUUAACAUGGAGUUUGCAGCAGGAACUCUCUGGUGAUCUAAAAGAGACUGGAGUGGGAGGAUAAAAGCCUGUUUGGAUGAUCUCAAGAGGAAAUGAAAGAACAGUGAGCUAAGUCAGAAAGAAGAGUCAAAAGAGUGUGUCUAACCAGAAAGCAGCAUAAGGGCUUUGGAUGCUUAGCCAGGCUCUUUGACCUGCAAAGAACAGAGUCCCAUUCAGGUAAAAUGUCAUCACCUUUGGGACAUUUGGAGAACAUUGUUAGUAUCAAGUUCAAGCAGAUUCUCUGCCCUCAUACUCAAGCCAUAUCCUGGUCAUGUUACAAUAUAGUGAACCUUCUGUGUGACCCAUGACUUUGUUCUGUUUGGUUUUUCCAGAAAUUUCUAAUUGCCUUUUAUUUUUCUUAUUGAAACAUUAAUAAAGAGCUUAAGUGUC